UACGUAGGUGGCAAGCGUUGUCCGGAUUUACUGGGCGUAAAGAGCGCGCAGGCGGUCGGAUAAGUCGAAUGUGAAAGCCCCCGGCUCAACUGGGGAGGGUCAUUCGAUACUGUUCGACUCGAAGGCAGGAGAGGGAAGUGGAAUUCCCGGUGUAGUGGUGAAAUGCGUAGAUAUCGGGAGGAACACCAGUGGCGAAGGCGGGUCUCUGGGCCGAUACUGACGCUGAGGAGCGAAAGCGUGGGGAGCGAACAGG
rnacentral:rRNA from 1 species